rnacentral:lncRNA from 1 species
UUUAAUAUCAGAACAUAGCAAAUUAAACUAAAAUUAAUCAUAUAAACGAUGUCUAUGAAAGCUUACUAAUGCAUAAUAUUUUGUCUUGAAACCAAAAUAAGAAUGUGAUAAUGAUUUCGCUUAUUUCGUUUCAGCUUUUGAAAGAUACCAUAUCCCCGACUCUUGAUUACAACUAGUGCGCUGUCUUCAAAUUUGCAAUACGGCGAAAGUGCAGAAAGUACAAUGCACCCAUAAUACGGGACAGUUGUGUUUUGUAUGUGCUGGAACCCCACCGUCUGCUCGAAGACGUCGGCCGUUCGUGACUCAAAGAUACCAAUUUUCAGGUUUUCUUCCGAUUUUACAACCACAUUGACAUUGACUUUGAGCGUAGGAUUCCUAAAUGAGGGUCAGAUGUUGUUGUGGUAUAUCGGACUCCUCAGCGUGGCUUCCUGAUUGUGAUAGCAAGCAAGCUGUUUUUAUUCCAUCAGAUGUAAGGUAUUAAAACCCUGGCAAGCAGUGGUCUUCCAUCAAAACAACAACUUUACAAACAAUUUGCAAGCUCAGUAUUUUACUUGGAUUGGAUUUUUAACAGGAAACAAGGUAUGACCUUUCUUACACUCAAAAGAUAUCAACGAACCAGUCAAUGACAUGUACGUGUACAGGUACUCGUUCUUUCACAGUUUCACCACUACAUGUAAGUUGCCAUCUUACAUGUCUUUAACACAUGUACAUACAUUUAAUUGCGGUUUCUCAUGCCACUGUAUGCAUACAUGUAAGUGACAACUUCUCAUUAACUGAUGAAUCAUCCCUUAUGAUUGCCAAGUCCAAAUGCAGGAAUAUUUGCCACCCCUUGUGGUAUUUCCAAUCUGUUUUGAUAGCUACCCUGGAGUUGAUACCUAGAGAUGGG